rnacentral:rRNA from 1 species
AAUAGAUACCCUGGUAGUCCACGACCGUAAACGAUGAGUGCUAGGUGUUAGGGGUUUCGAUACCCUUGGUGCCGAAGUUAACACAGUAAGCACUCCGCCUGGGGGAGUACGCUCGCAAGAGUGAAACUCAAAAGGAAUUGGACGGGGACCCGCACAAGCAGUGGAGUAUGUGGUUUAAUUCGAAGCAACGCGAAGAACCUUACCAGGUCUUGACAUCUGGGUGAAAGCACUAGAGAUAGUGCCCCUCUUCGGAGCACCCAAGACAGGUGGUGCAUGGUUGUCGUCAGCUCGUGUCGUGAGAUGUUGGGUUAAGUCCCGCAACGAGCGCAACCCUUGACUUUAGUUGCCAGCAUUGAGUUGGGCACUCCAGAGUGACUGCCGGUGACAAACCGGAGGAAGGUGGGGAUGACGUCAAAUCAUCAUGCCCCUUAUGACCUGGGCUACACACGUACUACAAUGGCCGGUACAACGGGAAGCGAAGGAGCGAUCCGGAGCGAAUCUUUAAGAAGCCGGUCUCGAGUUCGGAUUGCAGGCUGCAACCG